UCGCCUCUGGGAUGAAGCAGCCCCUAACAUAUUAAUCAUCCCCUUCACUUUGUCUGCUAAAACCUUUUAUUUGGCUGAUCAUUAGUGGAUGUGAGAUUU
rfam:Brachypodium distachyon strain Bd21 chromosome 1, whole genome shotgun sequence.